UACGUAGGGUGCAAGCGUUAAUCGGAAUUACUGGGCGUAAAGCGUGCGCAGGCGGUUUGCUAAGACCGAUGUGAAAUCCCCGGGCUCAACCUGGGAACUGCAUUGGUGACUGGCAGGCUAGAGUAUGGCAGAGGGGGGUAGAAUUCCACGUGUAGCAGUGAAAUGCGUAGAGAUGUGGAGGAAUACCGAUGGCGAAGGCAGCCCCCUGGGCCAAUACUGACGCUCAUGCACGAAAGCGUGGGGAGCAAAC
rnacentral:rRNA from 1 species